GCCCCGGUAGCUCAGCAGGUAGAGCGUGCGGCUGUUAACCGCAAGGUCCCAGGUUCGAGAUGAAUUUUAUUACGAAACUCCUGGCCGGGGCGCCA
rnacentral:tRNA from 1 species